rnacentral:tRNA from 1 species
GUCCAGGGGCGGGAAUCGAACCCACAACCUUCUGCUUACCGGGCAGGUGCCAUCUCCACUAGGCUACCCUGGA